rnacentral:rRNA from 1 species
GACGAACGCUGGCGGCGUGCUUAACACAUGCAAGUCGAACGGUAAGGCCCUUCGGGGUACACGAGUGGCGAACGGGUGAGUAACACGUGGGUGAUCUGCCCUGCACUUCGGGAUAAGCCUGGGAAACUGGGUCUAAUACCGGAUAGGACUCCUGGCUUCAUGGUUGGGGGUGGAAAGCUUUUGCGGUGUGGGAUGGGCCCGCGGCCUAUCAGCUUGUUGGUGGGGUAAUGGCCUACCCAGGCGACGACGGGUAGCCGGCCUGAGAGGGUGACCGGUCACACUGGGACUGAGAUGCGGCCGAGACUCCUGCGGGAGGCAGCAGUGGGGAAUAUUGCACAAUGGGCGCCAGCCUGAAGAAGCGACGCCGCGUGAGGGAUGGCGGCCUUCGGGUUGUAAACCUCUUUCAGCUAUGGCGAAGCGCAAGUGACGGUAGUAGCAGUAGAAGGACCGGCCAACUACGUGCCAGCCGCCGCCGUAA